GACGAACGCUGACGGCGUGCUUAAUACAUGCAAGUCGAAGGGAGUGGCGAACGGGUGAGUAACACGUGAGUAACCUGCCAACCUCUCUGGGAUAAGCUUGGGAAACUGGGACAAAUACUGGAUUGAUUGGGAUGGGCUCGCGGCAUAUCCGCUUGUUGGUGGGGUUAUGGCUUACCAAGGCAUUGACGGGUAGCCGGCGUGAGAGGGUGGACUGUCACACUGGGACUGAGAUACGGCCCAGAGUCCUACGGGGGGCAGAAGUGGGGGAUAUUGAACAAUGGACGAAAGUCUGAUGCAGCGACGGCGUGGGGGGGAUGAAGGCCUUCGGGUUGUAAACUCCUUUCGCCCGCAGAAUGGUAGUGAGUAAGGAAGCGCCGGCUAACUACGUGCCAGCAGCCGCGGUAAUUC
rnacentral:rRNA from 1 species